UACGUAGGGGGGCAAGCGUUGUCCGGAAUUAUUGGGCGUAAAGAGCGUGUAGGCGGCCAGAUAAGUCCGCUGUGAAAUCUCGAGGCUCAACUUCGAGCUGUCGGUGGAAACUAUCUGGCUAGAGUCCGGAAGAGGAGAAUGGAAUUCCUGGUGUAGCGGUGAAAUGCGCAGAUAUCAGGAGGAACACCGAUGGCGAAGGCAGCUCGCUGGGACGGUACUGACGCUGAGACGCGAAAGCGUGGGGAGCAAACAGG
rnacentral:rRNA from 1 species